rnacentral:rRNA from 1 species
AUACGGAGGGUGCAAGCGUUGUUCGGAAUCACUGGGCGUAAAGGGCGUGCAGGCGGUUUGUUAAGUCAGGUGUGAAAGUCCACAGCUCAACUGUGGAAGUGCAUUUGAAACUGGCAGACUCGAGUACUGGAGGGGGUGGUGGAAUUCCCGGUGUAGAGGUGAAAUUCGUAGAUAUCGGGAGGAAUACCGGUGGCGAAGGCGACCACCUGGCCAGAUACUGACGCUGAGGUGCGAAAGCGUGGGGAGCAAACAGGAUUAGAAACCCUAGUAGUCC